GGAUUCCCCUAGUAACUGCGAGUGAAGCGGGAAAAGCUCAAAUUUAAAAUCUGGCAGUCUCUGGCUGUCCGAGUUGUAAUCUAGAGAAGUAAUGCCCGUGCUGGACCGUGUAUAAGUCUCCUGGGAUGGGGCGUCAUAGAGGGUGAGAAUCCCGUCUUUGACACGGACUACCAGUGCAUUGUGGUAUGCUCUCAAAGAGUCGAGUUGUUUGGGAAUGCAGCUCAAAAUGGGUGGUAAAUUCCAUCUAAAGCUAAAUAUUGGCGAGAGACCGAUAGCGAACAAGUACCGUGAGGGAAAGAUGAAAAGAACUUUGGAAAGAGAGUUAAACAGUACGUGAAAUUGCUGAAAGGGAAACGCUUGAAGUCAGUCGCGUUGGCCGGGAAUCAGCCUUGCUUCUGCACGGUGUACUUUCUGGUUGACGGGUCAGCAUCAAUUUUGACCGCUGGAAAAAGGCCUGGGGAAUGUGGCAGCUUCGGCUGUGUUAUAGCCCCUAGUCGCAUACAGUGGUUGGGAUUGAGGAACUCAGCACGCCGCAAGGCCGGGUUUCGACCACGUUCGUGCUUAGGAUGCUGGCAUAAUGGCUUUAAGCGACCCGUCUUGAAACACGGACCAAGGAGUCUAACAUGCCUGCGAGUAUUUGGGUGGAAAACCCAAGUGCGUAAUGAAAGUGAAAGUUGAGAUCCCUGUCGCGGGGAGCAUCGACGCCCGGACCAGAACUUUUGGGACGGAUCCGCGGUGGAGCAUGUAUGUUGGGACCCGAAAGAUGGUGAACUAUGCCUGAAUAGGGUGAAGCCAGAGGAAACUCUGGUGGAGGCUCGUAGCGAUUCUGACGUGCAAAUCGAUCGUCAAAUUUGGGUAUAGGGGCGAAAGACUAA
rnacentral:rRNA from 1 species